AUGAUUGCAAUCAGUUCAUCAUUUCUGGUGUAAACAGUUGCAAUAUCUUUCAAUGUAGAACAAUUCUUUAAUUUCCUGUAGUCAAGAAAUAUGCGUUUCUUAUUUAUGCUGAUGUCUACGUCUCUUCAUUAUAUAUUGCUGAUGACUCAUUGAUCUUUUUGCAGUUUUUUUGGAGUAAACAUUUAUUUUCUAUCACGAUUUCUCUGUUAUGUACAGUCACAUCAUAAAUGCCAUUUUUUUUCUUUGUGGACUUUUAUUCUUUGACAAUGUUGCUUUCAACUGCUGGUUCCGUCCUAUUGUUUCUUUGACCAUGUUGCUAUAAGAUAUCUACCAAACCAAUAUCUUGUAGCUACCAGAGCAUAAAGAAAACCCCGGUUAGACUAGCCAGAGCAUAUUUGAACAGCCUCUCUUGUAUCAUCUCUUUUUCCCCUUGGUGUAUUUUUGUCCCAUGUCCAGACCAAAUCAAGCUGCCGCACAUCUGUUUGUGAGUGAGAUUAGACACACAUGUGUGUGCAAGAGUAAGGGAGGCCUUGGUGAGCGUCUCGAUGGGAGUUAUGAACUCCCGUAUCGAUAAGCUUGCUAUCCUCAUGGAUGAAGAGUACGUCAAGUUGAGCAACAUGUCAAAGGAGUUGUCAUUCAUCAGAGAUGAACUCAGCUCCAUGAAUGCUUUCCUAGAGAUUCUAGCAGACAAGGAGGAGCUCGAUCCCCUGACCAAGAAUUGGAAGAACCAAGUAAGGGAGAUGGCUUUUGACAUUGAGGACUGGAUUGAUGAGGUCAUGCGUCAUGCCAGCCAGGACGGUACCGCAGCUGAUCUCAUUUGGAAGAUCAUUCAGCGUCUCAGUAUGCUGAGAACCAAAAAUCGUAUUUCAAAUGAAAUACGACAGAUGAAGGCUCGUGUCAUGGAGGUGAGUCAUCGUCACAAAAGGUAUAAGAUCGGUGUGAGCACCUCUGCAUCUAAAUAUGUGCCUGUUGACCCUCGCCUUCAUGCACUUUAUGCUGAUGAAGAUGGCCUCGAGGGCAUGGAUGGCCCAAGGAAUGAGCUAGUCGAGUUGUUGCUAGACGAAGGUCAACGAUUGAGGGUGGUAUCUGUUGUAGGAAUUGGUGGUCUUGGUAAGACCACACUGGCCAAUGAGGUGUACAAAAGGAUUGGAGAUAAAUUUGAUUGUCAGGCAUUUGUAUCAGUCUCGCAGAGACCAGACAUGACAAGGAUUCUCGCUAAUAUGUUUUCACAACUUGGGCAAGAACCACCUUCUCAACCUAGCUAGCGAGGUGCAGAACCUCAUUAAUGAUCUUAGAAAACAUCUACAAGACAAAAGGUACUUUGUCAUAUUUGAUGAUAUAAUAUAUGGGAGGAAUCGGUAUGGGAUAUGCUUAGAUGUGCCCUCCCCAAAAAUGAGCAGGCUAGUAGAGUUAUAGCAACUACACGCAUUGAAACUGUAGCUAUUGCUUGUUGCAGUUAUCUGCAUGAGUAUGUUUACAAGAUGAAGCCACUAGAUGACCAACAAUCAAAAAGGUUAUUUUUUAAUAGAAUAUUUGUCUCUGAGGAUGCUUGCCCUGAACAACUGAGAGAUAUUUCAACUGAAAUUUUAGACAAAUGGAACGGUUUGGCACUUGCAAUUGUUAGUAUUUCUGGCCUUUUAGCUAAUCAAGCAACCACAAGAGUUGAACAGUGGGAACACGUAAGGAAUUCUUUGGGCAAUAAGUUUGGGAAAUGAUCUGCAUUGGACAGUACGAGACGAAUAUUGCAGCUCAGUUACAAGAACCUUCCUUAUUAUCUGAAGGCAUUUAUCCAGAGGAUUACACAAUUAGGAAGAACGAUGUGGUCAAGCAAUGGAUAGCUGAAGGUUUUGUUAGUAAGGUGCAGGGACUAGAUGCAGAAGAUGUUGCAAGUAAUUAUUUCAAUGAGCUGGUUAAUAGGAGCAUGAUUUCACCUAAUGAUGCCAACUACCAAAACGAGGUAUUAUCUUGUAAGGUACACGAUAUGAUGCUGGAUUUUAUCUUGAGUGAGUGCGCAGAAGAGAAUUUUCUGACAAUAAAUGAUAAACCCAAUGCCUCGUUAGGCCUGCACAAUAAUGUCCGUCGACUCUCCAUUCAAUAUGACAAUGGAAACCAUAGCGUCGUGGAUCCAGCCAAAAAUCUGUCACAUGUUCGAUCUCUUGCAGCUUUUGGAGGCCCCAAUUUCUUGUACCUGAAUCCUCUUUCAGAGUUCAGUUUUCUUCGAGUUUUAAUUGUUGGGUUCUCAUAUGUUUCCUAUAAGAUGGAACUGGAUUUCCUUGGAGUAUGCAAAUUGUUUCAACUGAGAUAUCUGAAGAUUAUGCUUGUUUCAUGGAAAAUAUGGAAGGAACGCAAUGAAAGAGUGUUUGCAAGAUCACCACCAAAAGAUGUCUCACAGUUGCUGCACGAGAUCAUUCAGGAAGGGCAACUCUGGUGCGCCUCCGGUGCAAAACACCUAGCUGCCAUAGGUUCUAGAUCAGCAUUUCUGAUUUCGACCUUUCUGUGCCUUUUUGUGUUGUCAUUAUGGUGGUAUAAUAUAAGCUAAAACAUGCUUAAACCUGUGUGCGUGCGCCCGGAUAGGCCCGCGAUGUAUGAAAACUUUUUUCUUCUUAAUACAAAGAUACAUAACUCUCUUGCGUA